GGGGCUUGUAUGUGCCUGCUACUCUGUGCACUGGUGUGUCCGCACCUCUAGGGUGUUCAGGGAGCGGGCAGGCAGGUGGGUGGACAUGUCGUGCUGUGUUACAGAGCGAUGCCAGGGUCUCACGGCAGGUGUGUGGUGCACUUGACCUGCUGUCCCUGCCUUUCCUGCUUUUGUGUUGUUCCAAUUCACGUGCACACUUUCGCAUGGCUGGGUCCCCACUUUGGGGAUCUAAGUAUGCCUUCAGCUGUGUGUGUUACCACAGAGGUGCUGGCUGCCCUGCCCAUUGCCUAUGCUGUCUUCUCCCUGCCCUUCUAGGUAUCUGUUGGUCUGGUGUGAAUUUUUAUGUGUCCGUAUGUGUGUUCAUGUGUGCACGCCCUGCUGUGGAUCCUGGUGUCUUCCCCCAGGACCUGGCAUAUUCUGAGCAUGUCUGUAUCUGCCUGCUGUGGCCGUCCCUGUACUUCAAGCUGGUCUGUGCCAGGGGAUGUGGCUUGUAUCCAGCCUGUGUGGCUCUGUGCUCUCAAAGCUGUUUGAUUUUAGCCUGCCCCAAACCCUACACCAUCUCUUCCUCACUGCCUGUCCCCACCUU
rnacentral:lncRNA from 1 species